rnacentral:lncRNA from 1 species
CUAACAUUUUCUCUGCUUGAGAAAGAAGCUUAAAAAAGACUAGGGCCAAAGGCUCUGGACAUGAGCCACAACCUGGAGAAGCUGUGCCAGAAGGCUGUGACAAGUGAAAGCAGUUUGUCAUCUAGCUUGAGAAUCAGUGUGAAGGAAGAAAACAGGAGGGCUCGCUAGGAAGAGACACAGACUGACCAGCUGAGACUGGAGAGCACUGGGAGGGAUGAGAGAGGACAGCUGAUUAUCUUCUUCAGGCCAAGAAGAGUAAAGGAACUGCUGACAGAGAGAGAGAGAGAGCAAGCAGUUGGGCACAGGAGUCAUCUAAGGGCUACCGGAGUGCCACAUUAUACAGAGGAGGAGCCUGCUGAAGGGAAAAGUGUCCUCAGAAUCUGCAGUCUGGGUCUGGGACUGUGAGAGACUGUCUGUCCUUGGGCAGAGGAUCUAUGCUCCUGAAUUCUUAAACACCAGGCUUUUAAAUACAGCAGUGGAGAAUGAGGGGGUUGAACUCUUCAGUGAGCCCAGCAAAGCACAUUUUUUACUCUUUGGUUAAGGCUUCACAUAUCAUUUAGGCUAAAUUCUGCUACUGCACAGACACACAGAGCAUUAUUUCAGUAGAAGUUGUACAAAAAAAAAAAAAUGAAAGAAAGAAAAAGAAACCAGAGUUUGACCCUUGUCUUGUAACCUGGAGAGAAUCUUACUGCUCAUUAGGAAAGUGCCAGUAGUGAGGGCUGGUCAGACAACAUUUCCAUUAAUUUCCAUUAUCCCUUCUCAAAAUACCAGUUAAAUCAGAAUAUAUAGAUAUAAGUUCUAUUUUAUCUCCUUUCCUCAGCUGAAAGAUAAACGUGUAAAAUGCUGCUAAGUAUCACUAAAUAUUUUAAACAGAAAUAAUUUUAUCCAAACCCCAAAAUCUGGCCACAGGGAAAAGACAUCUGACCUGAGAUGCUGACCCAUGUUUCUUUUCAAUCAUUAAAGUCUCUAUGCAGUCCAAAAACCCUCACAGAAAUGCACAGAGAGUUUUAUUCCUAAACAGAAGUUUUCUGAGAAGUGAAACAAUGUAAUAAUUGAGUUGCAGGGAAUUUCUUAUCCAUUGGGGAAUAAAACCUAGAAAUGUUACUUAUGCUAUCUAUAG